AGCCAUUUUUCUUUGUUUUGGAGC
rnacentral:miRNA from 1 species